GACGAACGCUGGCGGCGUGCCUAAUACAUGCAAGUAGAACGCUGAAGAGAGGAGCUUGCUCUUCUUGGAUGAGUUGCGAACGGGUGAGUAACGCGUAGGUAACCUGCCUUGUAGCGGGGGAUAACUAUUGGAAACGAUAGCUAAUACCGCAUGACAAUGGGUGACUCAUGUCAUUUAUUUGAAAGGGGCAAAUGCUCCACUACAAGAUGGACCUGCGUUGUAUUAGCUAGUAGGUGAGGUAACGGCUCACCUAGGCGACGAUACAUAGCCGACCUGAGAGGGUGAUCGGCCACACUGGGACUGAGACACGGCCCAGACUCCUACGGGAGGCAGCAGUAGGGAAUCUUCGGCAAUGGGGGCAACCCUGACCGAGCAACGCCGCGUGAGUGAAGAAGGUUUUCGGAUCGUAAAGCUCUGUUGUAAGUCAAGAACGAGUGUGAGAGUGGAAAGUUCACACUGUGACGGUAGCUUACCAGAAAGGGACGGCUAACUACGUGCCAGCAGCCGCGGUAAUACGUAGGUCCCGAGCGUUGUCCGGAUUUAUUGGGCGUAAAGCGAGCGCAGGCGGUUUGAUAAGUCUGAAGUUAAAGGCUGUGGCUCAACCAUAGUUCGCUUUGGAAACUGUCAAACUUGAGUGCAGAAGGGGAGAGUGGAAUUCCAUGUGUAGCGGUGAAAUGCGUAGAUAUAUGGAGGAACACCGGUGGCGAAAGCGGCUCUCUGGUCUGUAACUGACGCUGAGGCUCGAAAGCGUGGGGAGCGAACAGGAUUAGAUACCCUGGUAGUCCACGCCGUAAACGAUGAGUGCUAGGUGUUGGAUCCUUUCCGGGAUUCAGUGCCGCAGCUAACGCAUUAAGCACUCCGCCUGGGGAGUACGACCGCAAGGUUGAAACUCAAAGGAAUUGACGGGGGCCCGCACAAGCGGUGGAGCAUGUGGUUUAAUUCGAAGCAACGCGAAGAACCUUACCAGGUCUUGACAUCCCGAUGCUAUUUCUAGAGAUAGAAAGUUACUUCGGUACAUCGGUGACAGGUGGUGCAUGGUUGUCGUCAGCUCGUGUCGUGAGAUGUUGGGUUAAGUCCCGCAACGAGCGCAACCCCUAUUGUUAGUUGCCAUCAUUCAGUUGGGCACUCUAGCGAGACUGCCGGUAAUAAACCGGAGGAAGGUGGGGAUGACGUCAAAUCAUCAUGCCCCUUAUGACCUGGGCUACACACGUGCUACAAUGGUUGGUACAACGAGUUGCGAGUCGGUGACGGCAAGCUAAUCUCUUAAAGCCAAUCUCAGUUCGGAUUGUAGGCUGCAACUCGCCUACAUGAAGUCGGAAUCGCUAGUAAUCGCGGAUCAGCACGCCGCGGUGAAUACGUUCCCGGGCCU
rnacentral:rRNA from 1 species